rnacentral:rRNA from 1 species
GGGUUGUGAGGUUAAGCGACUAAGCGUACACGGUGGAUGCCCUGGCAGUCAGAGGCGAUGAAGGACGUGCUAAUCUGCGAUAAGCGUCGGUAAGGUGAUAUGAACCGUUAUAACCGGCGAUUUCCGAAUGGGGAAACCCAGUGUGUUUCGACACACUAUCAUUAACUGAAUCCAUAGGUUAAUGAGGCGAACCGGGGGAACUGAAACAUCUAAGUACCCCGAGGAAAAGAAAUCAACCGAGAUUCCCCCAGUAGCGGCGAGCGGACGGGGAGCAGCCCAGAGCCUGAAUCAGUGUGUGUGUUAGUGGAAGCGUCUGGAAAGGCGUGCGAUACAGGGUGACAGCCCCGUACACAAAAAUGCACAUAUUGUGAGCU